rnacentral:lncRNA from 1 species
ACCUGAACAUAAAAAAUGAAUGUGCAGCCCUAAGCAAUUCUAAUCUACCAAGGGCAUCAGAAUAAGGAAGCAAAAAUACAAAAAAGAACGUGGCAAGGCACACUCACUCAAAACUGGCAUUUGGGAUGCGACUGAGCACAAGCAAGCACUGAAGAAACACUGAUAUCACGGGGCCUCGAUUCUCCUUGUAGAUUCUUAAGAUUCAAAAACCCAUGCAAAUAAACAGUCUACCUUCGGGUUUGCGUAACUUUUG